UACGUAGGGUGCGAGCGUUAAUCGGAAUUACUGGGCGUAAAGCGUGCGCAGGCGGCCAUGCAAGACAGAUGUGAAAUCCCCGAGCUCAACUUGGGAACUGCAUUUGUGACUGCAUGGCUAGAGUACGGUAGAGGGGGAUGGAAUUCCGCAUGUAGCAGUGAAAUGCGUAGAUAUGCGGAGGAACACCGAUGGCGAAGGCAAUCCCCUGGACCUGUACUGACGCUCAUGCACGAAAGCGUGGGGAGCAAACAGG
rnacentral:rRNA from 1 species